AGCGUAGGCGGUUAAUUAAGUUAGAUGUGAAAUACCCGGGCUUAACUUGGGGGGUGCAUCUAAUACUGGUAAACUAGAGUACAGGAGAGGAAAGCGGAAUUCCUAGUGUAGCGGUGAAAUGCAUAGAUAUUAGGAGGAACAUCGGUGGCGAAGGCGGCUUUCUGGACUGACACUGACGCUGAGGCUCGAAAGCGUGGGGAGCAAACA
rnacentral:rRNA from 1 species